GUUUAUCUAUUUCUAGAGAUGCUAGAAUUCUAGAGAAUUUUAUCUUUGAAAAUCUUUAAAAUAACACAUGAUGAGUUCCUAUAUGAUGAGAGUUUAAAUUCCUACCACAGCCAUAUAUACAUGCUUGCUAGACUUUGAGCCACACAUUUACUUUUUACUGCUUAUGAGCAUUGAGUGUGGUCAAGAUGUGUAGACCCUUAGGAGCUUGUCAUGUGGUUAAAAUCAAGAUUCACUUGCAUGUUCACUCACGCAUGCUGCUUAUACUCCGGAAGUACGCAUCCACAUAUAUCCACUCAAUUCCAUCUCCAGAACCACCCAAAAGUAUUCUACUCCUAAUCCGGGAGAGAAUAGCCAAAAACAUUUCUAUUUUCCCUGUGAAAUAAAUGCUCAAGUUAUCUCGGUUACUACCACUUGCUAUAUUAUUUUAGGAAAUGAGUGCUCUAAAAAAAGAGAGAAAGGAUACGAGGAAAUAAAAAGGGGCAAGUGCCCGGAACCUCGAAAGAAAAGAAAAAAGUGAGACGAGAGGUAAAAAUAGACAAGUGUCCGACAGUAGAAUUAGGGGUACAAGAUACCCACCUGAGAGGAAAGAAAAAAGAAAUAUAGAGCAUCUCAUUCUCCUCAAAAGUUUCAAAAGAGCAAGAAAGGUGUGUAUCCCCUCAAAGAGCAAAGGUAGAAUUAGACUUUCACCAUUGUUAUCACCAUCAUCACCAUACACCAUUCAUUCGCCACACAUGCACAUCUUGAUUUGACUUAUUGACUUGUUUCUCUGGAUCUAUAGUUUGACUAUGCAAUAAAUGUCUUGUAAGUAUGUAUACUUUAUCUCCCACCUAUGAGCUCCAGAUAUUAAAGCCUUAUUAGAGUAGGAUGAGAGAGAAGACAAUGUCACUAUGCCUUAUACCACAAAUACUACAUACUUUGAGAGAACGCAUAUACCAUCACUACCUUGGUAAGAUCCAGAAAUACCACAAAAGAGAGAUCUGAGAGAGUCAUACAAGGAAUCUCUGAGUUUUAUUUGAAAAUCUGCAAAAAACUCCAGAGCUAUAGCUGAUCAAUAAUAAGAGACAUGGCACUUGACUAGACCGUUCUAUCUUUAACUGCUCAAGACAGAAGUGACGGUUACAAGUCCCGUGGUAAAAGGUAAAAUGAUUAAGAUUUAAGUCUUGAUGGUUUACUCUAACCCAG
rnacentral:lncRNA from 1 species